UACGUAGGAUGCUAGCGUUGUCCGGAUUUACUGGGCGUAAAGCGCGCGCAGGCGGCACUGUAAGUAAGGUGUGAAAUCUCCCUGCUCAACGGGGAGGGUGCACUUUAGACUGCAGAGCUAGAGGACGGUAGAGGGGGGUGGAAUUGCUGGUGUAGCGGUGAAAUGCGUAGAGAUCAGCAGGAACACCCGUGGCGAAGGCGGCCCCCUGGGCCGAACCUGACGCUGAGGCGCGAAGGCUAGGGGAGCGAACGGG
rnacentral:rRNA from 1 species